CAUAUGGUAUACAAACGGGAGGCAGCAGUGGGGAAUAUUGCGCAAUGGGCGAAUGCCUGACGCAGCGACGCCGCGUGUGGGAUGAAGGUCUUCGGAUCGUAAACCACUGUCAGAGGGGACGAAGGCCCGACGUUAACUGCGAUCGGGAUUGACGGUACCCUCGGAGGAAGCACCGGCUAACUCUGUGCCAGCAGCCGCGGUAAUACAGAGGGUGCGAGCGUUGUCCGGAAUCACUGGGCGUAAAGGGCGUGUAGGCGGCUGGCUAAGCCGCGUGUGAAAGCCCGGGGCUCAACCCCGGAACGGCACGCGGGACUGGUCGGCUCGAGAGUGGUAGAGGCGAGCGGAAUUCCUGGUGUAGCGGUGGAAUGCGUAGAGAUCAGGAAGCCCGUGGGAGCGGCCGCGGGACCAAGAUCUGACGCUGAGGCCGCACAAGCGGUGGGAGCAARUAGAUUAAAUACUCUGAUGCAACGCGAACGAACCUUACCUGGGCUUGACAUGUACGUGAAGGUUCGUGGAAACACGGGCCGUCCUUCGGGACGCGUACACAGGUGCUGCAUGGCUGCCGUCAGCUCGUGUCGUGAGAUGUUGGGUUAAGUCCCGCAACGAGCGCAACCCUCGCUCCCAGUUGCCAGCGAGUCAUGUCGGGGACUCUGGGGGGACUGCCGGUGCCAAACCGGAGGAAGGUGGGGACGACGUCAAGUCAUCAUGGCCCUUACGUCCAGGGCGACACACGUGCUACAAUGGCCGGUACAGAGCGUCGCAAAGCCGCGAGGUGGAGCCAAUCGCUAAAAGCCGGUCUAAGUGCGGAUCGGAGUCUGCAACUCGACUCCGUGAAGUCGGAAUCGCUAGCUAUUUACGUGUGUCAGCCACACCACGGUGAAUACGUCCCGGGCCUGUACAC
rnacentral:rRNA from 1 species